UACGUAGGGGGCAAGCGUUGUCCGGAUUUUAUUGGGCGUAAAAGCGCGUGUAGGCGGCUUUGGUAGGUCCGCUGUGAAAAACUCGAGGCUCAACCUCGAGCUGUCGGUGGAAACCACCUCGCUAGAGUCCGGAAGAGGAGAGUGGAAUUCCUGGUGUAGCGGUGAAAUGCGCAGAUAUCAGGAAGAACACCAAUGGCGAAGGCAGCUCUCUGGACGGUACUGACGCUGAAGACGCGAAAGCGUGGGGAGCGAACAGG
rnacentral:rRNA from 1 species